rnacentral:rRNA from 17 species
GACUCUCGGCAACGGAUAUCUUGGCUCUUGCAUCGAUGAAGAACGUAGCGAAAUGCGAUACUUGGUGUGAAUUGCAGAAUCCCGUGAACCAUUGAGUCUUUGAACGCAAGUUGCGCCCUAGGCCCUACGGUCGAGGGCACGCCUGCCUGGGCGUCA